rnacentral:rRNA from 1 species
AUUGAACGCUGGCGGCAGGCUUAACACAUGCAAGUCGAGCGGGGUGAUGGUGCUUGCACUAUCACUUAGCGGCGGACGGGUGAGUAAUGCUUAGGAAUCUGCCUAUUAGUGGGGGACAACAUCCCGAAAGGGAUGCUAAUACCGCAUACGUCCUACGGGAGAAAGCAGGGGAUCACUUGUGACCUUGCGCUAAUAGAUGAGCCUAAGUCGGAUUAGCUAGUUGGUGGGGUAAAGGCCUACCAAGGCGACGAUCUGUAGCGGGUCUGAGAGGAUGAUCGGCCACACUGGGACUGAGACACGGCCCAGACUCCGACGGGAGGCAGCAGUGGGGAAUUUUGGACAAUGGGCGAAAGCCUGAUCCAGCAAUGCCGCGUGUGUGAAGAAGGCCUUCGGGUUGUAAAGCACUUUUGUCCGGAAAGAAAUGGCUCUGGUUAAUACCUGGGGUCGAUGACGGUACCGGAAGAAUAAGGACCGGCUAACUACGUGCCAGCCGCCGCGGUAA